CGCCUAGGCAGCCACUGGACACCUGCAACUGCUUACAGGACUGAAAGCAGGCGACGAAGACUGUGAAGUUUGACGGUCUGGAAAGCAGAGGCCAGCCGCGCUAUCUGAGAGGUAAGUUCUGGAAUCAUGCCACGAGGUGGGGUGCAGGCAUAAGUCCUAGUUAAGACCUCUCCGUGUCUCCCCUACCUACCGCCGGAAAGCGCGCCUGGAAGGAGUGGAGGGGAAAAAACUGGUUCCCAAGAGGGAGAACAGAGGGGAUUGGAGUGACCUGGGGAGGAGAGGAAAGCAAAUCAAGUUUCUUCACCACGGAAGGAAAUUGCUAUUUAUUUCAGCACCGAGACUCCGGACAGCGCCGCUCGGGGUCCAGGAAGCGAGCCACAACCUGCUUCAGCACCAGAGCUCCGGACAGCUCCUAGGGAUUUCGGGGCCGACUUCAUUUCAGGACCAAGAGGCUGGAUAGCUUCCCUGACAAGGAGGUGAGAUAAAAGUACACACACACACAAAUCUAAUUUACAACAGGUGAGAUGGCCAAUCGGUAGUACG
ensembl:lncRNA